GACGAACGCUGGCGGCGUGCUUAACACAUGCAAGUCGAGCGGUAAGGCCCUUUCGGGGGUACACGAGCGGCGAACGGGUGAGUAACACGUGGGUGACCUGCCCUCAGCUCUGGGAUAAGCCUGGGAAACCGGGUCUAAUACCGGAUAUGACUCCAUGACGCAUGUUGUGGGGUGGAAAGCCUUGUGCGGCUGAGGAUGGGCCCGCGGCCUAUCAGCUUGUUGGUGGGGUGAUGGCCUACCAAGGCGACGACGGGUAGCCGGCCUGAGAGGGCGACCGGCCACACUGGGACUGAGACACGGCCCAGACUCCUACGGGAGGCAGCAGUGGGGAAUCUUGCGCAAUGGGCGAAAGCCUGACGCNGCGACGCCGCGUGAGGGAUGACGGCCU
rnacentral:rRNA from 1 species